GGGUGAAGUUGUCGCUGACGAGUGGCGGACGGGUGAGUAAUGCAUAGGAAUCUACCCAGUAGUGGGGGAUAACGUGGAGAAAUCCACGCUAAUACCGCAUAUGUCCUACGGGACAAAGCAGGGGACCUUCGGGCCUUGCGCUAUUGGAUGAGCCUAUGUCGGAUUAGCUAGUUGGUAGGGUAAAAGCCUACCAAGGCAACGAUCCGUAGCUGGUCUGAGAGGAUGAUCAGCCACACUGGGACUGAGACACGGCCCAGACUCCUACGGGAGGCAGCAGUGGGGAAUAUUGCACAAUGGGCGCAAGCCUGAUGCAGCAGUGCCGCGUGUGUGAAGAAGGCCUGCGGGUUGUAAAGCACUUUUAUUAGGAAAGAAAAACCCGGAGUUAAUAUCUUCGGACUUGACGUACCUAAAGAAUAAGCACCGCUAACUAA
rnacentral:rRNA from 1 species